rnacentral:rRNA from 1 species
GUUUCCCGUAAGGCGCCGAAUGAGUCAUUAAAAAUAACAUCAUCCGAUCCCUAGUCGGCAUAGUUUAUGGUUAAGACUACGACGGUAUCUGAUCGUCUUCGAUCCCCUAACUUUCGUUCUUGAUUAAUGAAAACAUCCUUGGCAAAUGCUUUCGCAGUAGUUAGUCUUCAAUAAAUCCAAGAAUUUCACCUCUGACAAUUGAAUACUAAUGCCCCCAACUAUCCCUAUUAAUCAUUACGUCGAUCCUAGAAACCAACAAAAUAGAAUCAAACGUCCUAUUUCAUUAUUCCAUGCUAAUGUAUUCAAGCGUAUGCCUGCUUUAAACACUCUAAUUUUUUCAAAGUAACAGUCCUGAUUCCCCAAGACACCAAAUUAAUGACAUCAAGGUUCUUCAGAAGGGAGAAACCAAUAAUACCAGUACGUACCGAGGCACGACCAACAAAUUGGUCCCGAAAUUCAACUACGAGCUUUUUAACUGCAACAACUUUAAUAUACGCUAUUGGAGCUGGAAUUACCGCGGCUGCUGGCACCAGACUUGCCCUCCAA